rnacentral:tRNA from 1 species
GGCUGGGUAGCUCAGUUGGUUAGAGCAAGCGGCUCAUACCCGCUGUGUCGGUGGUUCGAAUCCACUCCCAGCCA